GCUCCAGUGGCGCAAUCGGACAGCGCGCGGUACUUAUAAUGCCGAGGUUGUGAGUUCGAUCCUCACCUGGAGCA
rnacentral:tRNA from 1 species